ensembl:lncRNA
AAAAUAUUUUAGCUGCUAAGAUUUAGUUAACUUUCUAAGAAACGAAUUCAAGUUGCCUUCAGCAGGAAUUAACACAAACUUAUGUUCCCUUUCUUUAUAUAGUCUUCCUAAAAUGCUGUUCAAGUAUUUUCUAGUUAAUUAUGUAACAGAAUGUUAGCAUCUCUCCAAAUCUUGAAACUUGAAUUUUGAGAAUGCAUUGAAUUAUGCUUUCAGUGUUAAAGGUUUCAAUUAUCCUUCUAGUGAAGUCUGUUGUGGAAUACCAUUUCCCAUGGAACUGAGGCCAUUUCCACAACUUUGCACAGAACUGCAGUCUUGUUCUUCCCUCAGAUCAUGACAAAUAAGUCUCACACAGUGCCGUAAUACUUGUGGAUUCUUUUGUAAUCUUUGUAAUCUUAAUAAGGGCAUUAUGAGAAGAUGACUCCAUGUUUUUUUAAUAUUUCAAACACAUUGGGAUGUAACCAUGAAUGUCAACUGUAGGGACGGUGGUUUCGUUUUAAGGAAUAAGCAUGUUGGGGAAGAUGACCACGAUGUACUACUGACGGUUUUACCCUUCCGUAGGCGAGUGGGGUUAUGUGUUGAAGCAUAAUCCUCGUGCUGAGUAAACUGACUGAAAUCGUAGAAAUUACACCUAGGGACUGAAUUAUGCCAAAUUGCCAUUUUCCUUUAGGAAAGAGAGAUUUGGGGGUAGUGGUGAGGGAACAAAACCUUAAAACUACUUCUGAAUAGUAUUUUGGAAUUGACGACUUGGUGACUAGUGAGGAACAUCAGAGUUGGGUAUUUCAAUGUGCCAAGUUUGGGUGAACUAGGUUUGCCUCUUUCAUAGCAGUGUAAACACAAUUGUGUAGUUGAUUAAAUCCUGGGUGGAUGUGAGCGGGACUGAUUACUAUGUCUUGCCCUUCGCCCUUUGUUUUUUUCAGAACCAAAUAACAGAAAUGUGUGUGUGUACUGUAAGAGAAGAGUGGAAGGGCAAGAAUUCAAAGCAUUUGUUCAUACAAUGUGGCGACCUCUUUGGCAUAGCGCGUAGGACCUGUUUGUAAUGCGAUCAUGAAUAUUCUGUAGUUUUGUUUCCCUCCCCGCCAACUGGAGCUAUGAAACUUUUUAUUGGAUUCAGUCUUGUCUGUUGUCUAGAAAGAAUUUUAUCUUGUUGACGCAUGAGCUGUUUAAAAAUUAUUCUAUUAAAUGUUGGUUAAUAGUUGUGCAGUUUUUCUUUUCAGAGGAAAAGGCAAUACAGUCGUUGCCUUUGUUUUCUGUCACCUUCCAGCCCCUCAGCACUUCUAGUCAGAUACAGAUUCAUCAGUGUAUGCAACAUCCUUUGUAAUUUAAAAUAAAAAAAGCUGAAAAGAAAAGGUUUUCAAUUGUUUGCCUCGUGUUUUCGUCCUUCCUUUUCCCAUUGCUGUUCUGUUGCUGUCUGAGGUGACCAUCCACCUUUCAAAGUAAGCCACUGCAACAAAAUUCUGAGCUAGAGACAGCAG